CACAUGCAAGUCGAACGCUGAAGCCUAGCUUGCUGGGUGGAUGAGUGGCGAACGGGUGAGUAACACGUGAGUAACCUGCCCUCUUCUUUGGGAUAACGCCCGGAAACGGGUGCUAAUACUGGAUAUUCACUGAUCUUCGCAUGGGGGUUGGUGGAAAGGUUUUUUCUGGUGGGGGAUGGGCUCGCGGCCUAUCAGCUUGUUGGUGGGGUGAUGGCCUACCAAGGCUUUGACGGGUAGCCGGCCUGAGAGGGUGACCGGUCACAUUGGGACUGAGAUACGGCCCAGACUCCUACGGGAGGCAGCAGUGGGGAAUAUUGCACAAUGGGCGAAAGCCUGAUGCAGCGACGCCGCGUGAGGGAUGGAGGCCUUCGGGUUGUAAACCUCUUUCGCUCAUGGUCAAGCCGCAACUGUGGGUUGUGGUGAGGGUAGUGGGUAAAGAAGCGCCGGCUAACUACGUGCCAGCAGCCGCGGUAAUACGUAGGGCGCGAGCGUUGUCCGGAAUUAUUGGGCGUAAAGGGCUUGUAGGCGGUUGGUCGCGUCUGCCGUGAAAUCCUCUGGCUUAACUGGGGGCGUGUGGUGGGUACGGGCUGACUUGAGUGCGGUAGGGGAGACUGGAACUCCUGGUGUAGCGGUGGAAUGCGCAGAUAUCAGGAAGAACACCGGUGGCGAAGGCGGGUCUCUGGGCCGUUACUG
rnacentral:rRNA from 1 species